GAUGAAGAACGUAGCGAAAUGCGAUAAGUAAUGUGAAUUGCAGAAUUCAGUGAAUCAUCGAAUCUUUGAACGCACAUUGCGCCCCUUGGUAUUCCGAGGGGCAUGCCUGUUCGAGCGUCAUUACACCACUCAAGCUAUGCUUGGUAUUGGGCGUCGUCCUUAGUUGGGCGCGCCUUAAAGACCUCGGCGAGGCCACUCCGGCUUUAGGCGUAGUAGAAUUUAUUCGAACGUCUGUCAAAGGAGAGGAACUCUGCCGACUGAAACCUUUAUUUUUCUGGGUUGACCUCGGAUCAGGUAGGGAUACCCGCUGAACUUAAGCAUAUCAAUAAGCGGAGGA
rnacentral:misc_RNA from 1 species